rnacentral:rRNA from 1 species
UAGGGAAUCUUCCGCAAUGGACGCAAGUCUGACGGAGCAACGCCGCGUGAGUGAAGAAGGAUUUCGGUUCGUAAAACUCUGUUGUUAGAGAAGAACAGCGCAUAGAGUAACUGUUAUGCGUGUGACGGUAUCUAACCAGAAAGCCACGGCUAACUACGUGCCAGCAGCCGCGGUAAUACGUAGGUGGCAAGCGUUAUCCGGAAUUAUUGGGCGUAAAGCGCGCGUAGGCGGUUUUUUAAGUCUGAUGUGAAAGCCCCCGGCUCAACCGGGGAGGGUCAUUGGAAACUGGUUGACUUGAGUGCAGAAGAGGAGAGUGGAAUUCCAUGUGUAGCGGUGAAAUGCGUAGAUAUAUGGAGGAACACCAGUGGCGAAGGCGACUCUCUGGUCUGUAACUGACGCUGAGGCUCGAAAGCGUGGGGAGCGAACAGG